rnacentral:misc_RNA from 1 species
GAUGAAGAACGUAGCGAAAUGCGAUAAGUAGUGUGGAUUGCAGAAUUCAGUGAAUCAUCGAAUCUUUGAACGCACAUUGCGGCCAUAGGUAUUCCUUUGGCCAUGCCUGUUCGAGCGUCAUUUACACCCUCAAGCCUAGCUUGGUGUUGGGCGUCUGUCCCGCCGUUCUCGCGCGCGGACUCGCCUCAAAGUCAUUGGCGGCGGUCGUGCCGGCCCCCUCGCGCAGCACAUUUGCGCUUCUCGGAGGCCCGGCGGAUCCGCGCUCCAGCAAGACCUUUCACGACUUGACCUCGGAUCAGGUAGGGAUACCCGCUGAACUUAAGCAUAUCAAUAAGCGGAGGA